rnacentral:tRNA from 1 species
GCCUGGGUGGCUCAGUGGGUUAAGCGUCCGACUUCGGCUCGGGUCACGAUCUCGCGGUCCGUGGGUUCGAGCCCCACGUCGGGCU